rnacentral:lncRNA from 1 species
UUUUUCCUCGGUCGAUUGCUUUAAACCAGUCUUAUUUGUACCUCUUGGGUGAAUCUCUAAAAUGUAAUGGGAUUAUGCUGCUUGACAUGUCUCCUUUUCUUUUGUUUUUCCUCGGUCGAUUGUUUUCAACCAGUCUUAUUUGUAUCUCUUGGGUGAAUGAAGUGUUUAAUUAUUUGGUGAAGGCCAGGAGUCAUGUUCUACCUUGGGAUUAUUGAUCUUGUUUGCAAACAACUUUUAAUUUUGCGAUUAGAUCUCUGAAGUUUCAGAAAUUCUAAAUUUAAGCCCUUCCAUCAAUAUCUUUCUAUAUUGUUGUAGGAAUUAUUUAUUGCAGAGAAUAUUUAAGCCCUUCCAUCAAUAUCUCUAAAAAUAUUUGAAUAAUUUGAUAACAAAAUUAACACUACCAGAAAUUCAACUAAAACCAUCAGAAUUACCGACGCAAUUUUUUUAUUGGUAAUUUACGUCCAUCAGUUCAAUAAGACCCCAACAAAUUUGAGUCCAACAAAAGCUUUAGCCAAUUCAAGUCCAGUAAAGAUCUUGGAAGAUUCCUUUAAAUUCAACCCUAUUAAUUAGAAAAUCCAACUGUGUCAACAUAAAUGAGAGUCAACUCUUUAAUCAGGAAGAUCCAAGAAAAUUCAACCUACUAGUCAAGAAAUUCAACCCUACCAUCAGGAAUUAGCGUCAACCUUACAAUCAAGAAGCUCCAUGGAAAUUCAUCCUUAUUAAUCAGGAAAUUGAAACAUGCCAUCAAGAAACAAUGGCAACUUUAUAAUCAUGAAGCACAAAGAAAAUUCAACCAAGAAAAAGUAAACCUUGCAAGCAAGAAGCACCAUAAUGUUUAGCCUUAUGCGGCGUCGCGGAGAUCGUCCACCCUUAAGAAAAAUAGAAAUGGGUCUAUCUGGCAAAUAUAGAGACACAAAGAAUUUUUGUCUCUUAUUAGUAAAAUAUGGAUUGGGAGUCGCCACCUAGUAUUCUAGUCACUAGGAAUCCUAACUGGUCUCAAAGAUCAGGUACGAACACUGGUUGCAUAAAGGGAAGGUACUAGCACCCCAACUACGCCCUACCUAAGGUAAGGUGCAUUGUUUUGUCAGAUAAAAUCUAAAGUCUUGUUGUGGUUUCUAAUUGUCGGUCCGUUUACGGUUUAAGAAAAGUCCUCAUCUGUAAGGAGAUCCUUACCUUAUCGGGUAAAAACCUAACUACUCUAAGUCAUCAAAAGAAAAUACCUUUUUAAUAUGGGUAUACGUUUUAUGUAUAAAUUCAUAAUUCUUGAUACUAAAACAAAACAAAAUAAAAAUUUUGUUGUUUUUGAAAAUUUGGCCAAUGUUCUAUAGACUUUAAUAAACUGGUUAUUAAAGCCAAAAUAUAUGCUUAAACAUUGUUUUUUGAUGUAUGAAAAACACGAUAUGAUUUUUUUAGCUUUGAGACACUUGGCUGCAUGCAUAGUGUCGCACGUCGAAAAAUCUCGUGCGGCAUCGGCUGGCGAAUCAUGUCUUGUUGUUGCAUCGCUUGCUUGACUUGGUUUGUUGGGAGUCGCCACCUAGUAUUUAAUUGAGGUUACUAGGAAACCCUGAUGGACUGGUCUUGGUCAAAGAUUCACGGGUAAGGGACUGAUUGUGGUUAGGGAAGGUGUUAGCACCGCUAACACACCCUACCUGAGGUAAGCUGCUUCGUGGACUCGAUUGUGUUAAAGAAGUUUUAAAAAUUAUCUUUUCAUCGGAUUUUAGAAAUACAACUUCCGUACAAGUUUGUAAUUCUACACCGUGAUCCAAUCAAAAUAUUAAAUCCUUCUUUAUUCUUUGCCGUCUUAUCAUAGAAAAAACCUUCACAAACAAAACACGCCCCAAUAUAAUUAAAAAAAAUUAAAAUUUUAGCCCACUUCUAAGGUUUCGAUACAUCAAUUAUUAAUUCUCAAAAUAUAUGUAAAAAAACAUGUUCUUAUAUUUUCAUGAAAAAUACAACAUGAUUUUAUCUAUCCUUAGAAUUUGUGCAUGUUCAAAUUAAACAAUUAAUUCUUUUUUUGUUUUUUUUUAAUUCAAUAUAAUAAAAAAUAAAAAAAACACACACACACAACUUUUUUUUAUUUGUUUUUUUUUUAUUUCCUUUUUACAUCACAUUCACGUAUUACAAAUAGCAAAAAUUAAAAAAUUACACAAACAAGGCCUUAACAGUUUCAAAAUUACAGAAAAGACCCCCCCCAAAACACAUAAUCGCAGGAGAGCCUUCUGGGAUCACUUUGACACGUGGCGGCGCGUUGACCUCACGCACCACCGUCACUGGCGGCGCGUGGGUUCACGCGCCGCAGCCAAUGAAGACCAGCAACCUGGUGGAUUGGGAUCGUCUCCUUCUUCUUUUCCUGUCCGUACCGGCGAUGCAUCUCCCAGUCACCUGCACAAGAAGCAAAAACACAAAAACACAACACAUGGCAGUUGAUUUUAAUCUUUUUCUUCCUCUGCAGAUUUUGUUCUCGGGUCUUUCUUUUUAAUUAUGGUUUGCUGUUCUUCCUUUCUUCUUCUGGGGUCCAACGCCAUCACUGCUUAUGGUUGUUUGGAUGGUUGAAGACGAGAGCAGAGGCUGCUGGCUGGAGGCGGACAGAUCGGGAAUCUGUCGGCGCCGCUGGGUCGGGCUGCUGUGGACGGAAACCGAAGGAGCAACAACCGUGGCUGAGGAGGAGAUCGUGACCUGGGAGGCGCCGGAGCUGGAAGCUGUGGGAAAGAAGAGAAAAAUAAAUCAAACUCGCGGGGGAGAUGGAGUUGUGGCUGGUUCUCCGUGGGGAAAGGAGAGUGGUGCUGUUGGUGGGUCUGUGUUGAUGACCGGGGAAGGAGAACCGUGGGGAGCUGGGUUUCUCUGGAGAUGGUUUUGGGAAUGAAACCAGAGGAAGAUGAGGGAGGCCGGUUCUGACUUUUUUUUGGAGGAGAAGGCUGCGUUGAUCUCCUGGUUUUCAAAAGGGAGGGGAGAUGGAGGUGCCGAAAAGGCACAGGGGAACGAGAGGAAACGGGGUUGUCUUAUGCCCCCGGUUUGUUUUGCAAAUAUUAAGGGAAAGGGGGGAGACCGGGUGAGGAUCAGGAAUGGAGUGGCUGGCGGUUCAAGAGAAAUUAAAUUAAAAGGGGAGCUGGCAGCUGUGAUCGGAGAAGAAGGAAAAAAUUUCCCAAGAGGGGGGGGCCUCCCUGGCGGCUGCUUUCAGUAGGGAAGAAGAAAAGUUUAGUUUUUUAGGGUUCUCUCUUUCCUUCUAAAAUUACAAAAUGAACCCCCUCCUUACCAAAUUUUGUAAGCUGCUAUUUAUAGGCAAGGCAUUUUUUCGGGCUUCCAAAUUGGUCCCUCAAUUUUUUCAAUCAAUUCACUUGGUAAAAAUUAAAUUUGGUCUCUUAAAAUUUCAAUCUUUUCAAUUAAGUCCAAAUUAGACUCCCAAACUUUAUUUUUCACCAAUUAAGUCCCCAAAUUAAUUUGACCCAUUUAAAGUAUAAUUAAGUCCUUGCACUUAAUUAAAUCCUUCAAUUGGACCUAAAUUAAUUCUUAAACAUAAUUAAAAUUUAAUUUGGCCCAUGAUUAAAUCAAAUUGGCCCAUUAAAAAUUUAAUUAUGUCAUUGAACUUAAUUUUUAUGCAAAUUCAUCCAAUAAUCAUUUAAUUUGACCUUCGAUUUUUGCCUAUUUUUACAGUCCUUUUUUAUCAGCUUUCUCCACAUUGCCAGCCUUUAUUUUAUUUUUUAUUUUUUUUAUUUUUUAAAAAGUGAAAUUUAGGGAAUAACCCAAAAUUGGGUUAUGACAGUUGCCCCCCUCUUUACAAUGCUUAUGAUAGAAAGUCUCGUAGGGGACUUUAGAUAGUAAGCGUUGUAAAGAAGAAAAAAGGAAGAUGUUUUUUUUUUUUUUUUUUGAAAAUUCAAAGAUUUUGAAAUGGUCGAAUUGUCAUGGGUGACCUACCCGGGUGAAAAACACGAAGAUGUUUUAAAGUGGUGAAAAAUACAGAGAUUUUUCAAAGUGGUGAGAAAUGCGAAGAUUUCUCAAAAUGGUGAAAAAUACAGAGAUUUUUCAAAGUGGUGAAAAAUACAAAGAUUUUUCAAAGUGGUUUUGUUGUAAUGGGCAACGGGCCCAAAGAUGGAAAACGAAAAGAGUUUUCAAGGUGGUGAAAAAUGCAAAGAUUUUUCAAAGUAGUUUUGUUGUAAUGGGCAACCGGCCUAGAUGAAAGGUUUUGAAAAAUACAAAGAUUUUUUCAAAGAGGUGAAAAAUGCAGAGAUUUUUCAAAGUGGUGAGAAAUGCGAAGAUUUCUCAAAAAUGAUCUUGUUGUGAUGGGAGACUUGCCCAGAUGGAAAGUGAUGAAAAAUGCAAAGAUUUUUCAAAGUGGUGAGAAAUACAAAGAUUUCUCAAAGUGGUGAAAAAUGCAGAGAUUUUUCAAAGUGGUUUUGUUGUAAUGGGCAACCGGCCCGAGAUGAAAGGUUUUGAAAAAUACAAAGAUUUUUUUCAAAGAGGCGAAAAAUGCAGAGAUUUUUCAAAGUGGUGAGAAAUGCAGAGAUUUCUCAAAAUGGUUUUAUUGUUAUGGGCAAUCGGCCCGAGUGAAAAAGUUUGAAAGUGGGGAGAAAUGCAAGGAUUUCUUAAAAUGGUGAAAAAUACAGAUUUUUGAAAGUGGUGAAAAUACAAUGAUUUUUCAAAGUGGUUUUGUUGUAAUGGGCAACCGGCCCAAGAUGGAAAGGUUUUGAAAAAUACAAAGAUUUUUUCAAAGAGGCGAAAAAUGCAGAGAUUUUUCAAAGUGGUGAGAAAUGCGAAGAUUUCUCAAAAUUGUGAAAAAGUUUGGAGGUGGUGAGAAAUGCAAAGAUUUCUCAAAAUGGUUUUAUUGUUAUGGGCAACCGGCCCAAAUGGAAAAAAGUUUGAAAGUGGGGAGAAAUGCAAUGAUUUCUCAAAAAUGGUUUUAUUGUUAUGGGCAACCGGCCCAAAUGGAAAAGGUUUAAAGGUGGGGAGAAAUGCAAGGAUUUCUCAAAAUGGUUUUAUGGUUAUAGGCAACCGGCCCAAAUGGAAGAUGAAAAGAGUUUUGAAAGAAGUCUGAUUAUAAUGGGUGACCUGCCCGGGCGAAAAGGCAAAAUGUCUAAAAGGGACGACAUGAUAGGACUCGAUGGGGAACGAGGGCUGAAAAGCGCACUUGAAAGGAGAUAGGGUUCGAAAAACACACUACCUAAGAGGUGAGUGCUCCAAGGCACACUCUAAAGAAGGCAAAUAGGGCUAGAAAGCACACUACACAAGAGGUGAGGGCUCGAAGGAGCUCUCAAAAGGAGGCAAGGUUGGAAAACGCACUACCUAAGGGGUAAGGGUUCAAAGGAGCAUUCAAAAGGAGGUAGGGUUGGAAAACUCACUACCUAAAGUGGUGAGGGCUCGAAGGCACACUAAAAAAGAGGUAGGGUUAGAAAAAACACUACCUAAGAUGGUUGGGUCUCGAAAGAGCUCUCAAGAAGAGGCAAGGUUGGAAAAUGCACUACUUAAGAGGUGAGGGCUCAAAAGAGCUCUCAAAGGGAGGUAAAGUUGGAAAACGCACUACCUAUAGGUGAUCGAGGGCUCAAAGGUGCACUCGAAAAGAGGUAAGGAGGUAAGGUUGGAAAACGCACUACCUAAGGUGGUUAAUGGCCUUAAGGCGCACUUAAAAAGAGAUAGAGUUGGAAAACGCUCUACCUAAGGAGUUGAUGGCCCUAAGGCGCACUUACAAGGAGGCAGGGUUGGAAAACACACUACCUAACGUGGUUGAAGGAUCUAAGGCGCACUUAAAAGGAGAUAGGGUUGGAAAACGCACUACCUAAAGUGGUUGAAGGCCCUAAGGCGCACUCAAAAGGGGAGGUAGGGUCAGAAAACACACUACCUAAGAUGGUUGAUGGCUCUAAAGCGUAACUCAAAAGGAGGCAGGGUUGGAAAACACACUACCCAAGGUGGUUGAUGGCCCUAAGGCGCACUUAAAAAAGGUAAGGAGGUAAGGUUGGAAAACGCACUACCUAAGAGGGUUAGGGCUCGAAGGCACACUAAAAAAAAGAGAGGUAUGGUUAGAAAACACACUACCUAAGGUGGUCGAAGGCUCUAAGGCGCACUCAAAAGGGGAGGUAGGGUUAGAAAACACACUACCUAAGAUGGUUGGACAUUGAUCUGUCAAGGAUGAAAGAAAUGCAUCAUGAUCAAUAAAUGCAUGUAUACUUACCUGAGAAGUAUAGGUCCCCUUUUCUUCAUGGAGUUCUCCUUUUCUCAAAAAUUUGAGUCUCUGAUAGUAAGCUUUGAUGGCUUUUGUCCCCCUUGCUUACUCGAGAAAUAUCUUACGAUCUUGGCCUCUAGGAAAGACUCGAUGCCAUCAUUUCUUUAUUCUCCUCCCCUUUUAUCUCAAGGGUUGCAAAUUUUGCCCAAUAGUUUCUUCGAAAGGGAAUCAUGGAGCCAGCUCUACCAGAUGUUUUUGAUUGCCCCCUAGCUUGAUCAUGCCUCCAAGUAUUCAAUUCGGGUUUGGGGAUGAGGCUAUGUGAAGGAAGGUUUGACAAGGAGUUGUUUUCAUGCAGAAUUUUUGGAAUUUCAAAGCUAUUCCAGACACAUAAAUCAUUUUGACAUCGAUUCAAAGCGAACUCAUUCUGAAGAAAUUCAAGUGAUUCCUAUGGAGAGGUUUUCAGAAGUGAUGAAAACUUUUUUCUUUUUGAUUUUUGGUGAAAAAUAUGAAGUGACAUUUGGUUGGUCACAAAAGGUUGAAAUUUUAAUUUGUGGGUUAUUGAGAACCGUUGGUGAAAAUGUGAAGAACAUGAAGUGACAUCUGGUUGGUCACAAAAGGUUUAAAUUUCAAUGAAGUGACAUCUGGUUGGUCAUAAAAGGUUUAAAUUUCAAUUUGAGGGUUAUUGAGAACCGUUUUCAAAGCAUUCAUUUUAUUUGCAUGAAUAAUGAUUUUAUUUCGCAUGAGAAAGCACUGCCUACCGAUCCAGAUUGCUUGCCUUUGAUCAGAAAGGGCUUCAUUAGGCACGUAAUGUAGGCUUGGGCUAUUGGCUAUGAAGAAAAGGAUAUUUGUAGGCUCAAAAUGUGUUUAAGCGAUUUUAAGACUAAGGAUCACAAGUGCUUAUAUCCCAAACUCUUUUGUUCAUACAUUUCUGGACCUUGGAAAUGAUUUGUAAAAUGGUCCAUGGUGCCCCCCAGUGUUGGGCUUGGGCUCUUUCUCUUUGUUUUUGUUUCUUCAUUUGAUUUUGAGCAUCAUUGCAUUAGCUUUUGUUUUGCUCAAAAUUUUUGGAUCCUUUGGAUUUUUCUUCAUGCCCCCUAGCUUUGUACGGGCACCUUUGAUGAUUGAAAAAUUUCUUUUAUGCCCUCUAGUAUUGUUUGGGCACUUUCAUUGUUGAAGACUUUUUCGUGCCCCCAAGAGAUAUUUGGGCACUUUCAAUCAUUACGGAUUUUUUUGCACUUGCCCCCCAGUGUAGGGUGUGAUCCUAGCCAAGGUUAUUUUUCAAGAAAAAUUUAUUAGGCUCAAAAGGGGACUGCAAAUGAUAUAUUUCAGCUUUGCGAAAGGAUUAUCAAAGAUGGCCUUUCUUCAUCUCAAAUGCAUGCAUUUAGGAUCGGUAAGCCUUGCUUUCAUGCGAGUAUGCAGCGUGAUUUCUCAUUAUUCAUGCAAUCAAAACUCAGCUUUUGGAGUCACUUCAUGGUGUUUUUUUUUGGGUUUUCUAGGUGUAUGAUUACCUCUCUAAGGAAUCACCUGAAUUUCCAGAACUCGUUCGUUUCGAACAAACAUCAACAUGUAAAAUCCCAAAAAAUAUUUGUUAAAUGUUUUUUUUUUUAUUCUGGAAAUGGGCUACACCCGGCCCAAAUUAGUGGGUUGUGCUAGGCUGGAUUCAGCCCAAAACUAAAGGGGCUAGUUACUGUGCAUAAGAGCCUUUUUUUUCUUUUCUUUUCUUCUUCUGCUCGAAGAGUUGCUGCUGCUGGUGGCAAUGGAGAGGAGGCGCAAUGGUGGCGCUGCUGGGUUAAAGGUGGCCGGUGGUGGUUGUUCUUCUACUCCAAUUCCCCAAACAUUUCAUCCUAAUAUGCUUCAAACAAGAUUAGACAGCAGGUUCGUGUUAUUAUUAGGGGUGUCGUCCAAUUCUAUCUACCCGGCCUUAAUUAAUUGUAGAAACGUUUUCUUGAAGGCGUUGCAGGUAUUGAUGUUAUGCCUAGCAAUACCAGCAUGGUAUUCACAAUUGAGUUCUGGCUUGCACCAAUUAGGAUAAGGUGGCUGUAGAGGUGUCAGAGGUUUUGGAGCUAUCUGUCUGAUGCUCAAUAGCUUUUGAUACAUCUCAUUCAGGGCUAGCGGUAGUGGAGGUAGUUACCCUUAUGGGAAUUUGCUUAUUUUAGAUGAUUUAAAUUUCAUUGAAAAAUUAAAUUAAUACAUUUAAAAGAAUUUCCAACAGAACAACUAAUUUAAUCCUAUAACUGAAUUCAAUUCACAAUAAAGAAAAUUUUCGAUAUGCAGUGGAAGAAGAAUUGAAAAGGCCUAGUACUUUACAAUUUAAAGAGGUUUAAUUCGUGGGUAGUGUCACACCCCCAAAAAAUCCGAGCGCGCGACAUCAGCUGGCGAUUUUUCAUCGUUUGUUGCGUUUGCUUUGAAUUUGGUUCGUGAGAGUCGCCACCUAGUAAUUUAUUAAGGGCUACUAGGAAACCUGAUGUACUUGUCUUGUCAGAGAUUGCGGGUAAGGGACUGGUUGUGGUUAGGGAAGGUAUUAGCACCCCUAACACACCCUACCUGAGGUAAGCUGCUUUGUGUUCUGAUGUGAGUUGAAAAUUUAAAAUAUUAAUUAAAUUCUAAGGCUUGAAUAAAUCAGUUAUUAAAUCCCUGAAUAUAUGUAGAAACUUGUUCUUACAUUUUCGUGAAAAAUACAACUUGAUUUUAUUUGUCCUUAAGAUAUUUAAAUAUAUAUUUAAAUUAACAAUCAAUUCUUUUUGUCCUUUUUUUUAUAAUUUAAUAACAUAAAUAAAAAAACCAAAACACACACAAACAUUUCUUUUUUUUAUUUAUUUUUUUAUUUAUCACUUUCUCUUUCUUUUCUUUUUUUCUUUUACAUCACAUUUUACAUAAAAAAUACAAAUUGAAAACAAAAAAAAAACAAAAACUACAUUAAAAUUACAAUAAGGGCCUCAAAACCAUCUGAAAUUACAUCAAUGACCCUCUACAAGCCGGAACAGUGUUGGCAUGACAAGGUUUCUGGCUGCGGGAACACUGGCGGCGCGUGGGUCCACGUGCCACCGUGAAAACAAGCCGAAAAUAGGGGGGCUGCAGCGACCUCCUUCCCUCUUCCUUUCCUUGCCGGCGGUGAGGACAGCGUCACCUGCAAAGCCAAACAAACACCACAUCCAGUUGAUUUUAAUUUUUAUUCUCUUUGUUUUAAAAUCUGCUUCGUUUUUUUCCUUCUUCUUGGCAGAUCGGCUUCUGUUUUUCUUCUUCUUGGCAGAUCUGCUUCGGUUUUCCUCUUCUCUUCUGGUGGCCGCCGGUGACUGGGAAGCUGCUGGUGGUUGUGGAUCUGUGAGGGGAUCGCCUGCUGUUGAAGAGACCGAAGGUGAUGAAGACGCUACUGAGGGGAAGAUCGGUCUUGAUAGUGGGUUUCUUUCGGGUGGUGAAGUGAAUAGAUCGGACGGAGAGGCGGUGUGGGUUGUUGCGCUUGAUCGCCCGGGGAAGAAAGGGUACUGACGGCAGUGAACAGAAGUCGCCGCUGCUGGAGGUCGGCUGAAGGAGAGAAGGCGGGGUUGGUUUCUUUGCAGGGAAGAUGGAGAUUUUCGGGUAGCAGCUAUUUUGGGCAAGGAGAGGGGAAGAUGAGGUUGAUUUGUGGAUGAGAGAGGAGAACGCAGGGGCUGCGCCGGUGGUGGCUAGAGGAAGAGAUGAUGGGGCGAUGAAGGGUUUUGUUUUGGCUUUGGCCGGGGGAAGAGAAAACAAAAAAAAUUCAAAUGGUGAGGGGCUCUGCUUGGGUGAGCAGCCGCGAGAAGGAAAAAAACAAAAAAUUGGCUUUUGGGUCUGUGUGGGUGAUGCUAGCUUUAAUUUCAAAGAGAGGGGAAAGCCGUGAAGAUGGAGACCCGGCUGCAGGUUGAAGAUGAGAAAAAAAAUGGCCGGCUGGUGGGGGAGAAACAAGUCAGGGGGUCCUUGACUCUGUUCUGAAAACAACAAACAAGGACCCCGGGGAUCAGAGGCUCUCUCAUUUUUCAGGAGCAGGCGGCUGGUCUUUUUAGAAGAAUAAACUGGUGAGUAGUGGCUGGAAGUUCAAAAAUUUUCAAACCGGGGGGGCGGCUCCUUUGGGUAGAAUGAGGCAGGUUUUUUUUUUGUUUAGGGUUAGGGUUUUUUUGCAUUUUUGUUUUCUGAAAAUUUUAAAAUUGCCCCCCCUUGUGUGAGUUAAAGACCAGUAUUUAUAGGCAAAAAUGUUACCAAGUUUUUCAACUUGGUCCCUCAACUUCUUUCUUUCUGUAAAUUUUGAUUUUUCUUAUUUUUUUGUAUUUUUUGAAAACGAGCAAUAUCAACGUCGACUCAACGAGGAAAAUCAAUGUUUUUUUUAAAAUGACGCGUGAAAAGUCGAACGCGUUUUAAAUUUUUUAAAAAACUUUAAAUUCUUUUUUUUUUUAGACGACGUUGAAAAUGCUAAAAGGACGAAAAUAUAUUAAAAAACAUAUUUUUUUGGAUUUUCUUUGUUUUUCUCUAUUUUUUGAUUUUUUUGAAAAUAUAUAAAAAACAUGAGUCAAAAAUUGGAUAGCAACAGGUAGCUAGCCUAUGUUCAUGUGCUAGGCAGAGCCGAAUCUUAAGUUUUCUUUUUGGGACUUCUUGUAAGACGAGGACAUGUUUCUUAAUUGAAUAGGGCACCACUUCUAGGACAAGGCCCAAUAGAUGGUGAUGGAUGAAAUGUAUGCAUAUUAAAGGAAACAAAAAAAUCAAAUCAAUUAAAUAUUAAUAGAUAAAAACAAAUUUAAUUAAAGAAAUAACAAAAUUAGAACCCACCUCAAAAUAACUUAUGAUUCGGGUUAUAAGAUUAUAAUAGUUUCAUAAAAAGCAUAUUGAAAUAAAUUAUGAAGUUUAAUUCGUAAAGAAUUUCAUAUUAAAGGAUGAAAUUGAAAAUAAAAAUUAAAUAUUUCAUAAAAAAAACAAGUCACAAUUCUAAUAAACAAGGGUAAAAGUGAAUUCUGUUUAUUAUAAUUGUAAUAUCAUGUGUAUAUAUUUAAGAUAUUGUGAACAAUAAUGUAAGGUUAUAUGUGGUAAAUAAAUAUGUAGUUAAAUAAUUAAGAGUUAUAAAUGACCUUAAACAAUAGAUUAAUAAAUUAAAAAUAUCUUUAGAUAUAUAAAAAUUAUUAUAUAUACUGUAACACUGAAUACAAGAAUAAUUAGGCAUCAAGAAUUUUAUGCCAAGAAAAGAUUCCAAAUAACUUCGGCAUAAUAUGGACCACUUUGCAUCUAACUAUAAAUUUAUAUGAUAUUGGGAAAAUAAUAAAUUAUCUCCUUAGUUUCAAUACCUCAACAAUGACCCGUUAAUUAAUUUUAUAAUGUAAAAUUAAUAACAUAAUCACCACUAUGAAUCAAGGACCAUUACUUUUUUUAUUCUUAGGGACCAGAUUUUGACCCUUCAAAUACAACAAUCAAAGCAUACGCAUUGGUGCACAUCUUGUCUUUGAUUUCAUAUAUUAAAAAAAAAAAUUGUGCCUAUAUAUAUAUACACAUCCUUGCUCAAUCGGGGCCUACUUUCUUAUAUUUAUUAUUUUUAACGUUAGGGACCAUAUUUUUUUUAAUUUAUUUUCUAUGGAAUCAGGGACCAGAUUUAGACCCUUCGCUACAAUUUAAAUCUCAUUGAGUAUAUAAUUAGAGAGAUACAAAUAUAUAUAUCUCCUUCCACUGCCUCAAUAAUGAUAUCAUAAUUGUCUAUUUUGGUUGAUGAGGUGUACCAAGAUUGAAUGGGAAACUUAACGUUAUUAUUACAUUCCAUCCAUUUCAAUCUACAUCAUAAAAAGCUUUGUAAUUGAUAUUUAACCUGCUCCAUGCAAUAAAUAAUAAUUAAAAAUUUAACGACUUCAUCAAACCUUUUUAUGAUAUAGAUUAAAUGAAUGGAAAGUCAAUAUAAGGUUUAAAAAACUUUAUAUUAUUAAAAGUUAUAUUAGUUUUUUAAAGCAUUUUGGUCGUGUUCUGCUGAUAGUAUUUUAUAAUUUUAGGUUAUUAAUGAAAUUUGAUAAUUUAACUAUGAGUUUCAUUGUAAAACUCAUGUUCUAGAUAACUUAGUAGUUAUAUGACUCGCGCGAUGCUGCGGGUUAAUUUUUUUUGCAUAAAAAAUAUCAAAAAAUACUAAGAUCUAAGAAUAUUAGGUCUUUCUACAAAGAUAUGUUCAAAAGCCUUGGGUCUAGCUACAAUGCUUGGCCCAAUACUACUAUUUAUAAUAUUAAUAAUAAUAUUAAAUUUACAUGACUUAAGUUUAAGUGAGCCUGACUGCAACACUGAACCCAAGAGCAGUGGGCUGUGCUAGGCUGGAUUCAGCCCGAAACUAAAGGGGCUAGUUACUGUGUGUAAGCACAGUAACCAGGCCCUACCUCAUUUACUGGUAAGGGCGAAGCAAGAAUAAAAUAAACAGGGCAUCAGGAGGUUACCCGGGGGUGGUGCAGCCUGAGCGUGGCCGUUAGUGGCGGUGACAGUGGCAACCUCUCCCCUGUUUUCUCUUCUUCUGUCCAGAGGCAAGAGCUUUUUUUUUUCUUUUCUUUUCUUCUUCUGCUCGAAGAGUUGCUGCUGGUGGUGGCAAUGGAGAGGAGGCGCAAUGGUGGCGUUGCUGGGUUAAAGGUUGCCGGUGGUGGUUCUUCUUCUACUCCAAUUCCCCAAACAUUUCAUCCUAAUAUGCUUCAAACAAGAUUAGACAGAAAGUUCGUCUUCAUAUUAGGAGCGUCUUCCAAUUCUAUCUACCCGACCUUAAUUAAUUGUAGAAACUUUCUCUUGAAGGCGUUGCAGGUAUGGAUGUUAUGCCUAGCAAUACCAGCAUGGUAUUCACAAUUGAGUUAUGGCUUGUACCAAUUAGGAUAAGGUGGCUAUAGAGGUGUUAGAGGUUUUGGAGCUAUCUGCCUGAUGCUCAAUAGCUUUUGAUACAUCUCAUUCAGGGGUAGCGGUAGUGGAGGUAGUUGUUCUUGAACCCUUUGGUAAUUUCCAAUUUGGCUUUUAGCUUGAAAGUUUUGGGGUUCAUGAUUUUUUAUAUUGGCAAUUUGGGAUGGAGUGUGGUAGUUUUGGGAUGAGUUUUUCCUACCCUUGUAGCCAUCUUCAACAUGAUGGACCUCUUUUCUCGAUGGGUGCAAAAAUUCUAGCACUUUUGACACCUUGCUCUAUGCAUUCACACACUACCACAACAUCAGUGAAUUGCUGGGCCGAACUACCCAUCACAUGUUCGUAAUAGGAUGUUUUGAGUGUGUUGGCUAAUAAAGAGACCAUCUUUUAUCUAAAAGUGGAGGAUGUACUUGAGCAGCUGAUUCCCGCCAUCUUUUGAGCAUAUUCCCUUAUGCUUUCUUUGUCCUUUUUCUCUAGAUUGGACAAGUUGGUUUUGUCGGGAGCGAUGUCCAUGUUAUACUUGUAUAGCUUGACAAAAGCAUCCACCAGAUCUUUCCAGCUUUGAAUUUUUGUGUUGUCCAAUCUCAUGUACCAGCUCAAUGUUGCCUAACUUAAGCUGUCUUGGAAAAAGUGCGUACUACUUCUGCCAUUUUAUUGCAAUAGGACUUGAGGUGAGUUAUGGGGCAUUGUGUUCCACUAUAUUUGAUGAACUCAGGAACACAAAACUUCUUUGGAAAAACCACGUUUGGGACCAAACACAUCUCUAUUGCCCAUACCGGGUCAUAUAAGUCUACCCCAUUAAUGACUUUGAGUUUCGCUUCUAGUGCCUUUAUCUUAGCUUGAUCAAUGCUAUUAGAUGGCUUGGCCUUGUGGGACUGGUUAGCAGAUGCCUCCAUGGCUGUCGGGGCUGGUGCAGGUGUCACUGACUGCACAAAUGUUGGAUUUUGCUAAGGCUCUUGACCAUGUUCACACAUUCUUUCUUCAGGCUGAACUAUAGUAGGAGCCGGAUUAAAGGUGACCGGUGGAUUAGAAGGACCUUCACCAAAGGUAUUUCUCAGUGUUUGCUCGAGUAAGCUAGUGAGGUGAGCCACACUUGUUUUUAGAGACUCCAUCUUUUCUUGGAAAUAGGCAUCACGUUGAGUACGCUCUUCAACUUUCAUGCUUCUCGCUCUAAGUCGGGUGUUAUAGACUUUUUGGGGACCUAUUUUUCAAUCUGAUGCAUGUAUGUUAAAUGUAUGAAUAUGUAAUUUAUAUGAUAGACUUUCCCUUCGAGAGGUGACAUAUGAUCGUAACUCUUAUAUGAUGAAACAAGAAUCUUGAUUCUUGCCCACACUCUACAAUGAAAAUUUUAUGAGUGACGAUCAUUAUGUCACCCGUAAGUCUUGAGUUCAAGAUGCUUCAAUAAGGGUUUGCCUUGUUGUAAAUAAAGAUAACACAUACAACCUAAGGACAUGUUCUAUUUAUUAUGUGAACAUGGGUAGGUUUUCUACCUGGUCUCAAAAGGGUCUCAUAUCUACUUAGUGAAGAUCUUCGUAAAGACAGUAUAAGGGCAUUGCGAGAAAUGAUUAAGGCACGUAUACCCACCAUUACCAAGCAGGCACUCAGAUAUGAGUUGGUUGUUUCACGCAUUUGAACCCUAACCAAUGGUCAUAGGGCAGAUCGCUAGUUCUCCACUUAACUUAGAAGCUUGUGUGUGCUUGCUUGCCAAAAAAUUAAAUCAUAUGAUGCAUGAGGCAAUUCUAUAUAAUGCAUGAACAAAUAUGUACAGAAAUUAAAGCGCAUAAGAAAUAAAUAAAGAAAACGCAUAUUUCAAUAAACACGCAAACCACAACAAUAACACAAAAAUCACACAAAACAAAGCUUAGUCCACAAGCUCCCUAGUGAAGUCGCCAUUCUAUCGCACGUGUGCGGCAUCGUGGCGAUCGUCCACUCUCAAGGAAAAUGGAAAUGGGUCUAUCUGGAAAAUAUAGAGAUAAAAGGAAUUCUUGUCUCUUAUUAGUAAAAUAUAGAUUGGGAGUCGCCACUUAGUAUUUUGGUCACUAGGAACCCUAGCUGGUCUUAGAGAUCAAGUAUGGACACUGAUUGAGUAAAGGAAAUGUAUUAGCACCCCAACUACGCCCUACAUAAGGUAAGCUGCAUUGUUUUGUUUGAUAAAAUCUCAAGUCUUGUUGUGGUUUCUAAUUGUUGGUUCGUUUACGGUUUAAAAAAAGUCAUCAUAUGUAAGGAGAUCCUUACUUUAUCAGGUAAAAACCUAACUGCUCUAAGUCCUCAAAUGAAAAUACCAUUUUAAUAUUGGGCAUAUGUUUUAUGUAUAAAAUCGUAAUUCCUGAUACUAAAACAAAAUAAAAUAAAAAUUUUGUUGUUUUUGAAAUUUUGGCCAAUGUUCUUUUGACUUUAAUAAACUUAUUAUUAAAGCCAAAAUGUAUGCUAAAACAUUAUUUUUUGGUGUAUGUAAAACACGAUAUGAUUAUUUUUAGCUUUGAGACACUUGGCAGUAUGCACAAAAAACAUGUUUUUUUUCUUCUUUUCAAUUUUUUUUGUAUUUUGAAAGUUUUGAUGAAAACCAGGUAUUUUAAUACUGGAUUUUGUAUUUUUUUUUUAGAUAAAAUAAAGACUGAUAUUAAGCAAAAUUACAUAGAAAAUACGCGGGAAAACUGUAAAAUUCCAAAAAAUAAUUGUUAAAUGUGUUUUUUUUAUUCUAGAAUGGGCCGGACCUGGCCCAAAUCAGUGGGCUGGGUCGGAUUCGACCCAAGGAAUUAUUCAUGUUUUGCAUGCAAAUGGAGGCAAGGGUGAAGCAAGAAGAAAAUAAACAGGGCAGCAGGAGGUUACCUGGCGUGGUGCAGCCUAAGAGUGGCCGUUAGCGGCGAUGACGGUGACAAUGGCAGCCUUUCCCCUGUUUUCUCUUCUUAUGUGCAGAGGUGAAAGCCUCCAUUUUUUUUUCUUUUCUUUUCUUUUUCUACUCGACGAGCUGCUACUGCUGGUGGAAAUGGAGAAGAGGUGCAACGGUGGCGCUGCUGGGUUGAAGGUGGCCGACGGUGGUUCUUCUUCUUCUUCCUCUGUUUUUCUCCCUUUUUUAUGUCUUUCUGUUUUUGUUGUCUCUUUUUCUCUCAAUUUUCCUUUUUUGUUUCUUUCAAUCUCCAGACCUUCUUUGCUCUUUUGUCUUUUUUCUUAUCCUCCCCUGUUUUUAUAGGCAAAAACAGGGAGGGACAUGGCUCGGGCGGCCAUUAUGCUGCCGCCCCAUGAUUGCACGAUGGUCAUGUUCCCUCCUUUUUUUAAUGCCUCAUGGUAGGCCACGGGUAGGUUAUACACGUGGGGCUAUGGUCGACACCUUUUUUAUGCUUUUAAGGAAGAGAAGUUGGAGACAGAGGAAGAAAAAUCUUCUUCUUCCCCUGCUUCGUGCAUCCACGGGAAGAAGAAGACCCACAUUGCCGUCAAAACAACACCGUUUUAGGUUUUUCCUUUAUUGUUUUUUUGUUUUUUUUUUCGUGAACAGUGCAUGAAACGGCACCGUUUUGGACAAAACGCGCCGUUUAAUUUAAAAGGAAAAGGCGGCAAAAACAUGUCAGAGUUCAGAUUGGUCCUUAAUUUAUGAUUUGUUCAAUCAAGUCCUCAAUUGCAAUUUUGAUUUAAUAAACAAUGCAAUUGCAUCCCUGCCAAAAAUCAAACAGCGACCCUAAAGUUAGCCACCUUUUUCACUUUGGUCCUUGGUCUUGAAUUAGUGCAAUUGGACCCUCAAUUGAGCAAUAAACUUCUAAUUUCUUCAAUUUAGCUUCUGAUCCGGUUUAAUUACAGCCCCUCUAUUUAUGCAUCUUUUCCAAUUUGGUCCGUGGUUUUGAAUUUCUUCAAUUAAGUCCAUAAUUGGCCAUCAAACUUCAAUAUUUAUACAAUUAAGCCUCUGAUUUGACCAAAUUAAAUCUAAAAAAAUUUAAUUUGACGUCAGAACUUUAAUUUCCUCCAAUUAAAGCCCAAAUUAACUCCAAAAUCAUUUUUUCUUGCAAUCAAAACCUCCAUAAAUUCAAUUAAACCUUCAAUAAAAUUUAAUUGAGUCCAUAAACAUUUAAUUUUGGAAUUUUCUUUGUCAACAUGGCUCUCAUCAGUCAAUAAAAUACUGUCAAAUUUUAAUCUUUGUAUUCUUAAACCUCCUGAUCCAAUUUUUGACUAUUUUCUGAGCACUUUGGCAUCCUCCUCUCAUUGCUAUUAUUUUUUUGAUAAUAUUUUAUUAUUAUUUUUAUUUUAUUUUAUUAUGUUUUAUGCGGAUACCCAAAAAUAGGUUACAACAUGCUUCAGAAUUUCUGAUUCAGAUUAUUGAGUUUCCAUACAUUUUUGCACAACUUGUAGCCUAUAGCAUCAUAGUCUAUUCAAUGACAUGAUUUGAAUGGACUGUUGCUAAAUUCUUGUGGUAUCUGUUCAGCUUUUAUGGUAUCUAUUGAAUGCACAUUAUUGCAGUUGCACCAAAUCACCACAUUGCUGCCAUAUUUCCUCAGCUACAUGUGAUUAUAAAGACAUGCUUGACAGUGGAAGAUCUUAUGGGAAUUUGCUUAUUUUAGAUGACUUAAAUUUCAUUGAAAAAUUAAAUUAAUACAUUUAAAAGAAUUUCCAACAGAGCAACUAAUUUAAUCCUAUAACUGAAUUCAAUUCACAAUAAAGAAAAUUUUCGAUAUGCAGUGGAAGAAGAAUUGAAAAGGCCCAGUAGUUUACAAUUUAAAGAGGUUUAAUUCGUGGGUAGCUAGCCUAUGUUCAUGUGCUAGGCAGAGCCGAAUCUUAAGUUUUCUUUUUGGGACUUCUUGAAAGACGAGGACAUGUUUCUUAAUUGAAUAGGGCACCACUUCUAGGACAAGGCCCAAUAGAUGGUGAUGGAUGAAAUGUAUGCAUAUUAAAGUAAAUAAAAAAUCAAAUCAAUUAAAUAUUAAUAAAUAAAAACAAAUUUAAUUAAAAAAAAUAGCAAAAUUAGAACCCACCUCAAAAUAACUUAUGAUUCGGGUUAUAAGAUUAUAAUAGCUUUAUAAAAAACAUAUUGAAACAAAUUAUGAAGUUUAAUUCGUAAAAAACUUAAUAUAGAUGAAAUUGAAAAUAAAAAUUAAAUAUUUAAUAAAAAAAACAAGUCAUCACAAUUCUAAUAAACAAGGGUAAAAGUGAAUUCUGUUUAUUAUAAUUAUAAUAUCAUGUGUAUAUAUUUAAGAUAUUGUGAACAAUAAUGUAAGGUUAUAUGUGGUAAAUAAAUAUGUAGUUAAAUAAUUAAGAGUUAUAAAUAACCUUAAACAAUAGAUUAAUAAAUUAAAAAUAUCUUUAGAUAUAUAAAAAUUAUUAUAUAUACUGUAACACUGAAUACAAGAAUAAUUAGGCAUCAAGAAUUUUAUGCCAAGAAAAGAUUCCAAAUAACUUUGGCAUAAUAUGGACCACUUUGCAUCUAACUAUAAAUUUAUAUGAUAUUGGGAAAAUAAUAAAUUAUCUCCUUAGUUUCAAUACCUCAACAAUGACCCGUUAAUUAAUUUUAUAAUGUAAAAUUAAUAACAUAAUCACCACUAUGAAUCAAGGACCAUUACUUUUUUUAUUCUUAGGGACCAGAUUUUGACCCUUCAAAUACAACAAUCAAAGCAUACGCAUUGGUGAACAUCUUGUCUUUGAUUUCAUAUAUAUUAAAAAAAAUAUUGUGCCUAUAUAUAUAUAUUAUAUACACAUCCUUGCUCAAUCGGGGCCUACUUUCUUAUAUUUAUUAUUUUUAACGUUAAGGACCAUAUUUUUUUUAAUUUAUUUUCUAUGGAAUCAGGGACCACAUUUAGACCCUUCGCUACAAUUUAAAUCUCAUUGAGUAUAUAAUUAGAGAGAUACAAAUAUAUAUAUCUCUCCUUCCACUGCCUCAAUAAUGAUAUCAUAAUUGUCUAUUUUGGUUGAUGUGGUGUACCAAGAUUGAAUGGGAAACUUAACGUUAUUAUUACAUUCCAUCCAUUUCAAUCUACAUCAUAAAAAGCUUUGUAAUUGAUAUUUUACCUGCUCCAUGCAAUAAAUAAUAAUUAAAAAUUUAACGACUUCAUCAAACCUUUUUAUGAUAUAGAUUAAAUGAAUGGAAAGUCAAUAUAAGGUUUAAAAACUUUUAUAUGAUUAAAAGUUAUAUUAGUUUUUAAAGCAUUUUGGUCGUUGAUAGUAUUUUAUAAUUUUAGGUUAUUAAUGAAAUUUGAUAAUUUAACUAUGAGUUUCAUUGUAAAACUCAUGUUCUAGAUAACUUAGUAAUUAUAUGACUCACGCGAUGCUACGGGUCAAUUUUUUUUGCAUAAAAAAUAUCAAAAUAUACUAAGAUCUAAGAAUGUUAGGUCUUUCUACAAAGAUAUAUUCAAAAGCCUUGGGUCUAGCUACAAUGCUUGACCCAAUACUACUAUUUAUAAUAUUAAUAAUAAUAUUAAAUUUACAUGACUUAAGUUUAAGUGAGCCUGACUGCAACACCGAACCCAAGAGCAUUGGAUGUGGGUCUGGCUAUAAGGUCGUGUCAUAAAAGUGUGAUAAUUAAAUAGAUUAAUUAAAAAGAAAAAAAGCCCAAUAGGAAGAAAAAAACUAAUGAAGAAAAAGAAAAAAAGUUGAAUUAACUGGGUUAACCCGUCAAACCUGGGAUUCGCAUAAUGAAAGUUUGAUAACUAAAUAGAAAAAAAAAUAUUGACGGGUUUACCCAGAAUUAAUUGGGUUAACCUGUCAAACCAAGUUAACCCGUCAAGCCCGGAAUAUGUGUCAUGAAAGUCUGAUAAUUAAAUAUAAAUAAAUUUAACAUUAACAAAUUAAACUAAAUGAAAAAAAUUAAUUAAAAAGAAAAAAAAUCCAGGUUAACCCGUCAAAUCAGGUUAACCCAUCAAACCCAGGAUCUGUGUCAUGAAAGUCUGAAAACUAAAUAAAAAAAAACAUUUAACAUUAAAAAACUAAAUUAAACAAAAAAAAUUCAUUAAAAGAAAAAAAAAGACAGUUUAGGUUUCAUUUACUUUUUAGUAUAUGCUAUAAUAUAAUUAUAAUUAUAAUUAUAAUAUAAUAAAUAUAAUAAUAUACUAUAUUAAAAAUGAAAAAAGUGAAAGGCAUAGGAAAAACUACAGUACUUUUCCCACGUCUUUUAGAGUAUUUAUUAAUUCAUUAUCAGCUUUAUAUUUUUAUUAUUAUUUAUAUAUAUGACGUGGGAUUUGUAGCUCACAAGUAAUAAUAUGUAUAAGAAAAAAUUAAUAAUAUAUUAAAUAUUAAAUCAUGAUUUCAGCAUCAAAUGAUGUUGUUGAUGAAAUCAUUUUAAUCCCACCAACAUUAAUUCUAUCUUAUGCAAAAUAAGUACUUUAAGUUAUUAUGUAAAUCAUCAUAAUUGUUUUAUUGAUUAUUGGGUUAGAUCUGAUGCACUUAUAUGGAAUGAGUUUGGUUCAAGAUUUUUUUUAUUUUGGUUAAAAUAUUGUUCUAUUUUGGACUCUUUACAAUCAUUUUCAACUAUUUUUGUUUAUUAAAUAUUUUAAUUAAUAAUAAUUGUUAUCAAAAUCUCAAACAGGUCUAAAUAUUAUACCAGAAGGGGAACACAUCAUGCACCUCCUCUCCUUAGGUCUUCUUAUCUAACAUUUUGAUAAAAUUUAAUUAUAUUUGCUUAUUUAGGACCAUAUAUAUAUAUACAAAUAAUUUUGAGAGGAAUAUCAAAUUUAAGAGGCCACUUAACUUGAUGGUGACGCCGCCCUAAACUUAAUUGUCCUAUCGUCUGUUGGUGAUUUAUUUAAGGAUGCAACUUGCAAAAUUAUGACUCUGUGUGAUAAAACUUUUGGCCUCUUACCUGAAUUUUUGAUAGGCAAAAUCUCAAUUAGUAUCUCCAAUGUGUAUGACCAUACAAGAACGCCAAAUAUAAAAAUGUAUUUUAAGAACCAUAAGCGAAAGCAUAUGAUAUAAUUAAUUACAGUUAAACCUUUAUAAAUUAAUAUCUUCGGAUGAUAAAUAUUGAUUUCUUAAUUAAGAUAUUAUUUAUUAAUUGAUCUAUGGGACAGAAGAGGGAUACAAAAGCAAAUGGUCUAUCAAGGCUUAUUGUGGCGUCUGAAAUUAAAGGGAAAAAUGGAUUUGUACAAUAAUUAGUUGAUGCACUCUUCUGCUUGCUGUAUAAGACCUGUUUCUAUGUAUUUUGAUUCCAAUGCCAGUGUUUUCUUUUUGUUUUUUUAAAGGUUGAUUGUUUAUUUAUUUUAUUUUUUUUGUGCUUGCAUUUCAAAAUGUAUUAAUGUUGCGUACAAGAAGCAAUUUAAUUAAAGCCAUAUGUGGUUAUGGUUAGAAAACUGUUGUUGUUGAUGAUUAUUAUGAUGCCAUAUCAAUAAUCAUGUUGUUCUAUAAUCUUUCACAAGCAUGAACAUAGUGAUAUAUAUGGCCAUCACAGGGCUGGUUCAACAUGAAGUGCUCGUUGGUCCUGUCGAGAAAGUCCAGGUUAAUUAUCCAAGUGAUUUAAUGAGCUGAAAACUAUAAAAUAUAUGGGGAAAUACAACACAUUAAUCAUUUUAAAUGAAAAUGAGAGUCAUCCUUCCUUGCUCUCUCUCUCUCUCUCUCUCUCUCUCAAAUAGAUCAAAAAAGUAAGAUUAAUGUAUAAUCUUAGUAUUUGAUCCUAUAUUUUCUUGAGAGACAAAAAAUACAAAUUUAAAUAUAUUGAUUCAUUUUAAAUAUAUUUGGACAUAUGAUAAGAUAUUAAAAUAAUAUAUUUUUUAUUUUUUGAAAAAUUAUUUUCAAUAUCAGGAUAUUAAUUACACCCUUUAUAUAUAAACUAUACAUAAGAGUUAUCUUGUGAUGCAAACAAACAUAACAAUGACCCUAUAAAUAAACUGUUUGGUCGCUGUAUUUGGUUUCAAAACUUUAAAAUAUUUAUACUUCGUACUCGCAUUGUUUACCGCAGCACUAUAUGUACUACUCAUAAAUAAAGUGCGAAUUCACGCCUCAACUACGACCGGCAAGUCAUAUGCUUCAAGAUGUGCAUACCGUAUUUUUGGUUACUUAUUUGGAAUUAAAAAAAAAUCGAGAAUAAUGAUAGAAUUAUAUUUGAUUAAAGUACAAAAAGACAUGUGUAUAGCAGUUAAAAUAGAAAAUAAAUGAAGAAAUAUGUAUUGUAUCUUCUUUUUUUUCCCGGAAUGGUUACUAAAUACUAUCUAAAAUCACAUUUUCUCAUGGUGUUCAUAUGUAUGAUAGUUGUCAAGGCUUAGUUUAGAGUCUAAUCAGAAAAAAAAUAAUAUAAAAAAAGUUAUUGAAUUAUUUUAUUAACUUGUGAGUUACUAUGUCAAUCUAUGUAAGAUAUUUUUUAAAAUAAGAUAUCGUUUUAUUUUCUUUGUAAGUCUUUUAAAGCUAGCCACUUUGUAAGUUAUUGAAUUUUUUUAAUUGAAAUUUUUUAUUUGAUUUAUUUUUAAUAUUAAAUUAUUUGAGAAAUGGAUUUUAUAAUUUAAUUUUUAUCUGUUUUUUUAUAAGGUUAUUACAAUUUCAAAUAAAAAUUUAUAUUUAGAGUUUGUGCUUGAUUUUACAAAUAUAUGCUUUUUUCUAUAAAUAAAUAAAAAUAGUAUAUAUAGAUAAUAAAAUUAUUAAACUAAGUAGAGUGUAUAAUUUAGAUUAUAAGAUGAUUAAGGUCAAUUCAAAAUUAUAUCAUCUUAAUAUUGUUUUUUUAAAUAUUUCUCUUAAAACUUCUUUUUUUAAAAAAAAUUAUAUUUUUAUUGAUUAUUUAAAUUAUAUUUUGACCCAUGUAACCCAAUAAUUAUAUCCAAUAUUUUCAUUUGUCUUGUUAUAGGUCGUUGCGAUACUAACAGUAUAAAUUAUGGAUGGGUAAAACACUAAAUUGUGCACCAUCUCAAACACACUCCAGCAAGAGAGAGCGACGACAACAAUCAUGGGUUCUGAAACAGUGCCAAAAAUCCCUGUUGUUCAUUUGUCCAAGGAAAACUUCGAGCCUGGCUCUAGUUCCUGGCUGGCGGCUUGCAAUGAUAUCCGGCGAGCACUUGAGGAAUACAGCUUCUUUGAAGUAGUACACGCGAACCUUCAAUGGAACUUUACAGGGAAAUUAUAUCGGUGCUAGAGAAUUGUUCAAUCUCCCUGAUGAAACAAAAACCAAAAUACACAUCCUAAGAUCGGCCACGGUUACAUGGGGAAAAUCUCUGGCUUCCCUGAGGGCUUGGGGAUCGAGUAUGCAACAAAGAAAGAUGAAUGUCAAAAAUUUACAAGCCUUAUGUGGCCCGAUGGAAAUGAAAGAUUCUGGUAAGAUCUGCAUAUUAUUAUAUUAUGAUUAAAUAUUUCUCUUUUUCCUUUUCCUUCGACCGAUCAUCUGAAUCCUUGCAUAUAGCUGUAUCCUCCUAUGCUAACAUUAAUGUGAGCUUAAUUAGUAUGAUUUACUUGCUUUUUGUUUGUAUCUUUAGUGAUGUCAUCCACUCUUAUACGAAGAUAGCAUCUGAACUAAAUCAGAUGCUGGUAAGGAUGUUGUUUGAAAGCUAUGGAUUGAAGAAAGACUACGAGCCUCUCCUAAACUCAACAAAUUACCUCCUACGUCUGUUGAAAUAUGGAAGAUCACUCGGGGAGACGAAUGUUGGUUUUAAGGCUCAUAUGGACAAGACUUUCUUCACUCUACUUUAUCAAAAUCCUGUUAACGGUUUAGAGAUAAGAACCAAGGAAGGAGAGUGGAUUACGUACGAGCCUUCUUCACCAACUUCAUUUGCUGUCAUAGCUGGUGAUGUAUGCAUGGUGGGUUUAUCCUAUUUCUUAUUUUACAAGAUUCCUAUUUCAAACGAUACACACACACACACUUAAUGGAUUCAUAACUCUUGAUCAUGAAUUGUGUUGUUUGAAUAGAAAAUCUUGGUUGGUGUUGUGUAGGCAUGGAGCAAUGACAGGAUAAAAUCUUCUUACCAUCGAGUCGUUGUAAGCAGCGAAGAAGACAGAUAUGCACUGGGGUUAUUCACAUUCCUAGAUGGGGUGGUGCAAACAGCAGAGGAGCUAGUAGAUGAUGAACACCCAUUACAGUACAAGCCCUUUGAACACCUGAAGCUUCUUGAUUUCUAUGAAUCAUCCAAUGAUCCGGAUAAACGUGACAUCAAUAUCAUGAAAACCUUCUGUGGUGUUUAAUACUCUAAAAUGGAAUGGGAUUAUGCUGCUUGACAUGUCUCCUUUUCUUUUGUUUUUCCUCGGUCGAUUGCUUUAAACCAGUCUUAUUUGUACCUCUUGGGUGAAUCUCUAAAAUGUAAUGGGAUUAUGCUGCUUGACAUGUCUCCUUUUCUUUUGUUUUUCCUCGGUCGAUUGUUUUCAACCAGUCU